AAGUCGUAACAAGGUUUCCGUAGGUGAACCUGCGGAAGGAUCAUUAAUGAAUAACUGGCGUCUUCGGACCCAAACCCUCAUUAUCCUUCUACCUGUGAACUGUUAUAGCGUGUCUGUCUUUAUUGACAGACUGCUAAUCAAAAAUUUUAAAACAACGUCAAAGAAUGUGAUUUUAUAAUCAAAUUGUGUAAUGCAAUAUGAAAACAAAAUACAA
rnacentral:misc_RNA from 1 species